rnacentral:lncRNA from 1 species
GAAAACUGUCAGUGUCCUUUAGGGACAAGCUUUUGGCUUCUUUGGAUUUUAUAGGAUUAAAGAGGUUGGUAGGGGAUGUUGUGAUGGAACUUAUCUAUGGUAUACUUACUAUAAGAUUUUCAUACAUAAUCCAUAAUUUGAUGGAAUAAAACAUGUUGAAGUCGGUGAUGAUUUCUUCCUUGUAGAAUAGAAUCAAUGCCUUGUGGAAGCUGAUGCAAGCUUUUCAACUCAUGAAUCUUGAAAUUUGGCCAAGUUUCAGAUAAGAGUACUUUCAGCUAGGGUGCUUUCUAAAGGACCAUGAUUGAUCUGUGGGUAUUAUCUAUUUGUUCC